rnacentral:rRNA from 1 species
GUUUGAUCCUGGCUCAGGACGAACGCUGGCGGCGUGCUUAACACAUGCAAGUCGAACGGAAAGGCCCUGCUUUUGUGGGGUGCUCGAGUGGCGAACGGGUGAGUAACACGUGGGCAACCUGCCCAAAAGAGGGGGAUAACACUUGGAAACAGGUGCUAAUACCGCAUAACCAUAGUUACCGCAUGGUAACUAUGUAAAAGGUGGCUAUGCUACCGCUUUUGGAUGGGCCCGCGGCGCAUUAGCUAGUUGGUGAGGUAAAGGCUUACCAAGGCAAUGAUGCGUAGCCGAACUGAGAGGUUGAUCGGCCACAUUGGGACUGAGACACGGCCCAGACUCCUACGGGAGGCAGCAGUGGGGAAUCUUCCGCAAUGGGCGAAAGCCUGACGGAGCAAUGCCGCGUGAGUGAUGAAGGAAUUCGUUCCGUAAAACUCUUUUGUUUAUGACGAAUGUGCAGAUUGUGAAUAAUUAUUUGUAAUGACGGUAGUAAACGAAUAAGCCACGGCUAACUACGUGCCAGCAGCCGCGGUAAUACGUAGGUGGCAAGCGUUAUCCGGAUUUAUUGGGCGUAAAGGGAACGCAGGCGGUCUUUUAAGUCUGAUGUGAAAGCCUUCGGCUUAACCGGAGUAGUGCAUUGGAAACUGGGAGACUUGAGUGCAGAAGAGGAGAGUGGAACUCCAUGUGUAGCGGUGAAAUGCGUAGAUAUAUGGAAGAACACCAGUGGCGAAAGCGGCUCUCUGGUCUGUAACUGACGCUGAGGUUCGAAAGCGUGGGUAGCAAACAGGAUUAGAUACCCUGGUAGUCCACGCCGUAAACGAUGAAUGCUAAGUGUUGGAGGGUUUCCGCCCUUCAGUGCUGCAGCUAACGCAAUAAGCAUUCCGCCUGGGGAGUACGACCGCAAGGUUGAAACUCAAAGGAAUUGACGGGGGCCCGCACAAGCGGAGGAACAUGUGGUUUAAUUCGAUGAUACGCGAGGAACCUUACCCGGGCUUGAAUUGCAGAGGAAGGAUUUGGAGACAAUGACGCCCUUCGGGGCCUCUGUGA